AACAAGUCUUCACCUAUUCUCUCUCUCUCUCUCUCGCUUUGUCUCUCAAUUCUUCGAAUCCAAAUCAUAAACUUAUUGUUGUUUCUUUCUUGAAUUCAAAGUUUCGAACUGAUCUUGUUCUUGAAGAAGGGCAAUGUACGAGCCCCAACACUUCGUAGAUUUACAGGACAAUUCCGGUUUGGGGGACCCGAAGUCAUGGCUCUCCGGCGAAGAUCACCCCACCUCUCCGGCUCUCCGCCGGACUCACUCUUCUCUCUCCACCGCCGCCGGAUCUUCCGGAGACGUAGACCGCGUCCUCUUCAACGACCUCGUUGAGAUGGUCCCCCUCGUUCAGUCUCUAAUAGAUCGGAAAGCGAAUUCAUCAUAUACUCGUCGUGGUUCAAUGAUCUACACCAAGACACCAUCUCGAGAAUCACUAUCCAAGAAGAUAAUAGAACCAAAAGGGAAAAGUGCAGCUCAGUCUCUUCCACCAAAGAAACCAAGGGACCAUGCAGACAAGCACCAAGGGAAGAAUUUAAAUGAUAAUCGAGAUGGAGGUUCUGACAACUUCUCAAUUUUCUCCUCAAGUGCAAUUCAAAUGGAAAACGAAGAGUUGAUUACAUUGAGAGAACAAGUGGAAGAUCUUCAAAGGAGAUUAUUAGAGAAAGAUGAAAUUCUGAAAUCAGCAGAGAUUUCAAAGACCCAGGUCUCUUCCACUCAUGCAAAACUGGAGGAGAUGAAACUCCAGACUGCAGAAAAGGAUUCUUUACUGAAGUCUACUCAGCUACAGCUUUCUGAUGCAAAGAUUAAGCUGGCUGACAAACAGGCAGCAGUGGAAAAACUGCAGUGGGAAGCAAUGAAUUCCAACAGAAAAGUGGAAAAGCUUCAGGAGGAUCUAGGCUCUAUGCAAGAAGAGAUUUCAUCGUUUAUGUUGUUAUUUGACAGCUUGACAAAUAAUUCAUCUACCAAGCUUCCUGAAGACUAUGAUAUCACCCAUCAUCAUUCCAAUCAUUCUCCCCAAACACUUGAAAUUUUGAAGCUUGAACAGGAUGAUUUUGACCAGACAGAGAUGCAGAAGAUAGAGGAGGCUAGAGAAGCCUAUGUCGAUGCCGUUGCUGCUGCAAAAGAAAAGCAAGAUGAAGAUUCCAUUGCUGCUGCUGCAAGUGCAAGAUUGCGUCUUCAAUCGUUUGUUUUCAGGACCAGCGUGUAAACCCAAGCAAGAUAAGUAAUCCCUAGUAGGGAUUCCUAGUGAUAAAAGGGUAUGCUGUUUGGGUUAUUGUAGCAGGCUCCCACUAUGACAGUGUCUGUGGCUUAUUGUUGCAAACCUGAGCUUGAGAUAGAAGGCUUAGAUGAAGGGGCUUUUGCUUGCUGCUAGAUAAACUUCCUUGAUGAACCAAAUGAUGAUGUUUUGCCUAUUUGAGCAUUUGGGGAAUACUGCUUCAGAUGUGAUGGAUCAAGUUUGUGAGUUUGUACUUUGUAAUAAUUGUUUUCCUUUAGUAGAAAAAAGGAAAUAAUGGUUUUCUUUUAUUGGACUAAUUGUUUUGAGUAAUCCAAUUCUUUGGACUGGACUAGCUCUUGUGUGACUUAUCUAUGCCAUUGUAUAUGUUGUGUACAAUGAAAUCUAUUUUUGAGUAAUUGCUAUGAUUUUAUUGGAUU